AGGUCUGUGAUGCCCUUAGAUG
rnacentral:ncRNA from 3 species